rnacentral:rRNA from 2 species
CGGCGAGUGAAGCGGCAACAGCUCAAAUUUGAAAUCUGGCGUCUUUGGCGUCCGAGUUGUAAUUUGCAGAGGGCGCUUUGGCAUUGGCAGCGGUCCAAGUUCCUUGGAACAGGACGUCACAGAGGGUGAGAAUCCCGUACGUGGUCGCUAGCCUUUACCGUGUAAAGCCCCUUCGACGAGUCGAGUUGUUUGGGAAUGCAGCUCUAAAUGGGAGGUAAAUUUCUUCUAAAGCUAAAUACUGGCCAGAGACCGAUAGCGCACAAGUAGAGUGAUCGAAAGAUGAAAAGCACUUUGGAAAGAGAGUUAAAAAGCACGUGAAAUUGUUGAAAGGGAAGCGCUUGCAGCCAGACUUGCCUGUAGUUGCUCAUCCGGGUUUUUACCCGGUGCACUCUUCUACGGGCAGGCCAGCAUCAGUUUGGGCGGUUGGAUAAAGGUCUCUGUCAUGUACCUCCUCUCGGGGAGAACUUAUAGGGGAGACGACAUGCAACCAGCCCGGACUGAGGUCCGCGCAUCUGCUAGGAUGCUGGCGUAAUGGCUGUAAGCGGCCCGUCUUGAAACACGGACCAAGGAGUCUAACAUCUAUG